UUCCACUCAAAAUCAGAUGUCCUUAACCCAAAUUUUCCCUUCUCUUAUUCCAUCUUUCUUUUCCUUAGUUCGGUCGCUGCACUGUUCCUACAUCACCGUUGCCCGCCUCGAUCGAUCCGUUUGCUACUGUCCCAGCCUCUCGCCUGCCUCGACCCUUAGCUACUCAUCGACGCAACUUUUUACCCUGACCAACUGUCGUGCCUCCAUCACCGUUGUCCCAAGUCAUCGUACCCGUUUCAUCCAACCCGUGUCAGGUAAUCCGGUGAUGUAAUGCGAUGCAAAUGGAGGAGGAAUGAAUAAUCCAGAAUGUUUACCCUUCGGUCCUAGCAUAGAGAAUGAGCAAAUCAAUUAUAUAGAUACACCAUGACGAACAUUAGAGGCAAAUCUAAUGUCGUCGUUCCCGUUUCGGAAAAGCGAAGGACUCCAGGCGCGACAUCUUCCUCGGGCCCUUCCGCCGAUGCACGCCAUCCAUGUUUUCAAUUUUCACAGGGUCCUCAGGGGGACCUCUAUCAACAUCUUCAACAGAGGCCACUGGGAUUGGGCCGUUGUGUUGAUUGGGUCGUCUUCGAGCAGAUUCAAUUAGCUAAUAGAGUGCGAGCCAUCAUUACUAUAGCUUCUUGGGACCAGUUAUUUUCUAUCGUCGAGCCUACCUAUUCGGAGCUUACCUUGGAGUUUUGUUCGACAUUUGUCCUUCAGCACGUGAUGUCGAGCCAUGAUGAGCCAGGCACUAAUACUUUUUGACACGGCGGAAUGACACGUCUUCUGAGCAUAUCAAAAUUUGGAGCUGCCUUAGGACUCUAUACUGCGGAGUUCAUGAGUGCCGAGGGUUUCCUCACUUUAUACCAACACAUCCACUAUUCGUUGUCUCUAUGUUGGAUAGAGCUUACGGCUAGCACGACACCCUAUGACCUGAGUUGGUCGAAGGCGACUUCAUUUUCUUCGGCUUAUGAUAUAUUCAUGACAUAUUGGCUCACACAUCGACCGGUCGAUGGGAGAGUACCGGGGUCAUUGGUACAUUCGACGCUUACUUCCUAUGGAGCAUGGCAACGGGGUUUACCCUCGAUCUUGCCUACUUCAUCGCCCUUGCUUGCCGCCAUUAGACAUAAUAUAGUCGGAAGGGUCAUAUAUGCUUAGGCCCUUACAUGACUCACCUCACACGACACUUCGACCUCCUAGACACUCCGGAGCAAUCCUCCUCCUUUACACUAGCUGGACAGAAGACUCUAUAGGGGUUAUCGAGUAUGAGUCCCAUGAGGAUGAUGAAGCAAAUGUGUGGGGUGGAUCCUCCUCGAUACCGAUUAUCUCAUUUUGACCCUCAGGAUGAGCUGAAGGACUUCACAAAUGAUGCCCCUUUCCACCACGAGGAUCCAUCCACCUCCGAGUCACCGUACUACUACUUCUGCUGCUACCCUUGCGGACCUCUCUGAGUGGUUCACUCAUUUCGAGUGACAUUAUUUUGAGUGAUUCGAUAGUAUUGAUGCGACUUUGCAACAAAUCUGUCAGCACCUCCACAUAUCUUCUUCAGUGCCGACACCUUACGAUCCCGAUGCCUUUGACGAUGAAGAUCACUGAUUUUAUUUCUCUUCACUUUUAUUUUUAUCUUUUUUUUAUUUUUAUUUUUUGUUUUUUGUUUUUUUAAUUUUAUUUCUUAGACUUCUUUAGUUUAUUUUUCUUUUAAAGUAUGUUUUUAUUUUUAUGGUUGUUUCUAAUUGAGUUUGUAACCUCUUAAUCUUCUUCAUUAUUUGUUUUUAUUUUCUUAGUAGUUUGCUUGGAACCAUGCACUACAUUUAG